CGAAGCGCCAGAAAAGACGGCAGAAAAGUAAACAGCUACAGCUAAGCUAAGUAAUAAAAGAGUAAACAGAUAAAACAUGAAGAAAGAAGACAACGAGAAGGAUAAAUAAGGAAGAUUAGUCCCUCAUAAGAGAAAAGCAGCUUACGAGAGGAGCAAGAGAAUGUUUCCUGAUUGGAAACAUAACAAACUGGCAUGAUUCAUGUCAGUCCAGGACAGGAAGGCUCUAUGGCAGGUGAUUAAAAGCUCCAGAACAUCACUGGAGCCCAAAGAUACUAAAAUACAAUACCCAUCCAGCCACAGUCCAUUCACCCUGCUGCCAUCUGACUACAGAUACAGGAGUGUCUGGUGCUGUAGUACCAGUACCAGACUACAGAGCUGCUUCAUUUUUCAGAGUGUGAGACUCCUCAACUCAUCCUCAACACUCCCUAAAAAUGUAUAUUUUCUUGUGUAACAUAAAGGGACAAUGUGCAUUUUAUUGUAAAAACCCUGUUUUGUAGAAUGAAAAAUAAAUAAACCUUUGACGGACAGGUAUCAACUUACUAACUGGCGAUGUUUGACAAAGAAAGUCUCAAAAGUUUAAUAGUCAUUUAUUGAUGGCAGUGUAAUACUAAACCAACUAACUGUGUAUCAACAACAUUGUGUGUGAUAUUGCAUUACGAAAGAAACCCAUGUUCUAUGUUGUCCAGUAGCCAUCAGGAUACAACCGUGUUUUGUUAUUUUCUGAGUAUAUGACAAAUAGCAUUCAUUCAUGGAUCGUG